CCUCUCUCUCUCUCUCUCCCCCCCCCCCCCCCCCNUAAAACAAUGCCCGCGCCCCUCAUUUUGUAGCGCUUCAUACUUUCCCGCCAUUAUACUGAUCUACAAGUGCUCGAGUUUCUAUUGUCUUUCUUUCCGUUGCAGCUUCUCAAUCUCGAUUCGACGAAUCGCAGUUUCUCCCCAGGAUAUGGAGAUCCGUUUGGUUUUGCUCGGUUCGCGGUUUCUAUUUUUCUUCGUUCUCGUUUCUAUUGCAUUUUCUGGCAUAUUUGCAAGUAAUGGAGGUAUGGAAACGGAGAAAACAUUGGCUAUGAUAAAACCAGAUGGCUUGCGCGGUAACUACACCGAUAGAAUCAGAAGGGCCAUUGUGGAGUCUGGAUUCAGGAUUUUGAAGGACAGAGUAGUUGAAUUGGAUGAAGAUAGAGCAAGUCAAUUUUAUGCUGAACAUUCGUCGAAAAGCUUCUUUCCUUCUUUGGUCAAAUACAUGACGAGUGGCCCAGUAUGCGUUAUGGUUUUGGAGAAACAAAAUGCCAUUGCAGAUUGGCGUGCUAUGAUUGGGCCAACAGAUGCAACGAAAGCUAAGGCUACGCAUCCUAAUAGCAUUAGGGCAAUGUGUGGCUUGGAUUCAGAGAAAAACUGUGUUCAUGGUUCAGAUUCUCUUCAAUCAGCUCAUAGAGAGAUCUCAUUUUUCUUUGAAGAAACUGGUGCAUGAAUCCUAUUUUUUUUAUUGGGCGGUUAGCAUAGCAGUAUAUGAUGCCUUGCCCUGCUCUUCGGCAUUGAAGAGUUUGGUCAAAGAGUGAGACAUCUCAUUUAUCUCAGGUUUUUUAUCUCAGGUUUUGCUUUCCCUUCAUUAUUUUGAAUCCAUUUUAAUAUGUCAACCUUACUCCUGGCGGCCCAUUUAUAAACUGAAGUUUAUAUACAUAACAUUACAAGACCAGAAUUAUAAUCUUUAGCCUAUAAGGGAGAUCACCGAUGACUUAUUUGGCUGUUUGUAGAAGUCUAUUGACUAAACCCCAGGUUGUUUAAAUUAGUUUAGAUAGUGUAUUUCUUUCUAAAAUUUUAAUAUAAGAAUUUGUACGAAAUACUUGAGGGACACGAUAGAGCGUUUUAAACCAAGUAUGUAAGCACUAAUUAAGUUAGUACAACAGUGGUGAAGGUUUUUAAAGCCUCUUGGUUAGUAUAAGAUAUUAUCGGUAUUAGAAACGAUAGUACUCUAUGAUGUUAGAUGAGUUUGUGGCUGGUAUUCAAAGAGGUAACUGUUACUUUUCCCCUUUCCGUUGAAAAGAAGGUGUAGAGAUCCGAGAGUUGGCUUGGUUUGUGGCAUCUUUUUAGGAGCAAAGGCUCCGAGGAAAGAUUAAAGCUACAAUAUUUCAAUCCACCCGGUUGGUACGACUGAGUGAAUAACUUUGUCGUGACACGUGGCCUAAUAGGUUUCAAACUGGCCAUUUGCUGGGUGUUUCUCGGGCUUUGAUCUGGGUUCACUGUCUAAAUUUGAAAACAGUUCCUAGCGCUACUGUACAGUUAUUUAAGUCAUUAAAAGAUUGCCAAUAAGACUGCUAGUGCGAUGCUGUGUUUGGUCAAAUUUAUAUUGGAGUGAGAAGCUUGAAAACUAUACUACGAAUUAAAUAAGAAACAGGGCUUGUGAAAGAGAACACACCACUUUCUAUUUCUAUUGAUGAGGAUAGGAGUUACUCCAUUCAUUCCUCUGUUGUGUAGACCUAUAAAGAAUUCUUUUCUUAGGCCGUUUUCGAUUAGAGGGUUCCAUUCCUCGACUGGACUAGCAAUGUGUGAAAGGUAAUAACUUAAGGGACAAGUCCAGUACCCGUGUCUACACGGACAUGGUAGUGCUUUAUAUAGCAGACUCAACUUGGCCAAAAUUUUCAGGACCCAACACUCUUUCUUUUCUCUCUCAAUAAGCAACUAUCUUGUCUUUUUGUGAUGUUCCAUAUUGGUUGGAGAGGAGAACAAAAUACCCUUU